GCUGGUCCCCAGCUUUCCACAGCUGUGCCUCCAGGUGACUCUGAUGUGCAAGGAAGGUUUAGAAAAACUGGUCUGGAUGACCUCCAAUGCUUUCCUGUUCUAAGGGUCUCCCGUAGAGCCAUACUUGGCAAUGGAAAUAGAAAAGGUGGAGAGUCACUUCACAGCAAAGUGGGGUCUCACGGAAGGGCCUGGGUGGCAGGUCCCGGGGAGCUCCUGCUUUAUUUGGGCUUAAUGAUUGAUCCUGUCCUUUUUGAACCACCUAUGACACUCACCUUUCCUCCCUGUUCCUUCCUUCUUGCUUCAUGGACCUUUUCAAAGACUUGUCUUUUGGCUUGGUCACUGUGCACGUUUGGGUCUUUCAUCUUUUCUGGGGAUUUGCUUCUUCCCAGUCCACUCCCUGCGUUCCCUGUCAGGCUCUGAGCUUCCUGGAGCAUCAUCGCAGGGUCUUCCUCCACCUCUGCCCACCUUCUCCAUGAGAACUUUCCUGAUUGCAGAUCCAAUCAGCCUACGGGCGGCUAUGAUGCCUCCAGGGCUCCCUAACACCUGGAAGACAUUGGUCUGCUCAGCUGAAGCCGUAAAUCACCACGUCCUCUGUGAUCUGAUCCCAUUUCUGCUCUUGCCUCCUGUACUGCUUCCUGCUAAAGUCAUUGUACCCUGCCUUCACUGAUAGCUACUCUUUCAUGUUCUUUCUCCUCGUGUUCCUCUGUCCCUGUUUUGCCAUGAUUAGGAACAUGUUUCUCCAUCCUAUUUCCCCAGGCAAGAGACUGGCUAAUUAUUCAUUUUUUUCUGUUACACCUGGAAAUGAAGCUAGACCAUUUGGUGCAGGGAAUGUCCAUAGAAUAACAGAAUCUCUGAGUGGCCCUUUCUCUUCACCUUCACCCACCUGCUGACACAUGCAUACGUUCUGGAGGAAGAGUCUAAGACCAUGGGGCAUAGCAGAAACGAGAUAAAAGGCCUGAAUCUGUGAAUGACUGUGUGGAGCUGAGCCCUACCUCACACGCCUCUCCCUACCAUCUUCCUUGAACUGUGUUUGCAUUAAAAAUGCAUUUAACUUGCAAUUCACAUAGGAAACAAAUCAAAGCGGAAUUAAGAAGCUUGGUGUCUUGGUGAACUAGUCAUGCAGCAUAAAAACUACAAAACUUGGAGGCUUGUAAGCACAUUUAUUCCUGUGCGUUCAGGAUGAUCUUCAGUGGCAGAAUUGCUUCAGGCAGCAGUGUUGGCAGCAGGCUGCGUCUGGGUCUGCUCCACCUGUCUUCAUCAUGGGGUCCAGGUUGAGGAUGCAGUAGCCUUUCUGGGCACGAGUUUCUCAAGGCAAAUCACUGGUGCCCAGGAGCCAGCCUGCAUGCAAACACAAUUAAACAGCGCCUGUAUUGUGUGCUUUUGUUAAAUAUGCUCACCUUCUGUUGUCCAUGCAAGAGUCUAUGAAACAAGAACGUCC
rnacentral:lncRNA from 1 species